GUGGACCUACGGGGGGCAGCAGUGAGGAAUAUUGGUCAAUGGUCGGGAGACUGAACCAGCCAAGCCGCGUGAGGGAGGAAGGUACCGAGUAUCGUAAACCUCUUUUGUCAGGGAACAAAGACUGGGACGCGUCCCCGGAUGAGUGUACCUGAAGAAAAAGCAUCGGCUAACUCCGUGCCAGCAGCCGCGGUAAUACGGAGGAUGCGAGCGUUAUCCGGAUUUAUUGGGUUUAAAGGGUGCGCAGGCGGUCUGUUAAGUCAGCGGUCAAAGCCCGGGGCUCAACCCCGGCCCGCCGUUGAAACUGG
rnacentral:rRNA from 1 species